CGGACUGAAUGAUAAAUAGCAAAAGGAUUCCCUUUCGGUUUCGCCGAAGAAGACGUGAGACGACUGGGAAGUGCGUCCACCGGUAGGUCACAUGUGUCCACUGAUGAGUGCCCAGUAGGGGCAAUUAUAGUGUCACCGGUGUUUACCCGACUAUUAAAUAUCCAUCAGAAAGUUGGCUAUUAUUCACCUGAAGGCGCGGCAAUGGCAGCGUCUUAAAUAACAUCGAAAACAAAUUUAUUUAACAGCCAUCAAAGGGGAUUGGCCCAUUGCGUCUGUCAUAAAAAAAGUUAUUUGCCCUCUUACUGCGGAUCCAACUUAUUGAAUAUGAUUCCCAGAUGUCCUCCGCAACAUCAAAGGGAAAGCAGUGGAUUGGGUGGAGCAAAGUCGCAGGCUCAUGCAUAAUUUAAAGCAAUUUGGCAUUGUGCUGAAUCAAUUUCCACGCCCAGACAAUCAAACGGAAAGUAUUAAGACCCGAAAUCCAUUCCACGUGCUGCAGUGCUUCCCAUGCAAAUUAUACUCUUCAGCACUGCAGCACUUUUAUGUAAAUCCUUGCUCCAGGCACCAGGUGCCGCUGCCCAAAAUGGCAGUGAAUUAAAGCGCCGACAUUUUGUCAUAUUUAUUAAAAAUUUAUCAAUGUCAUAAAGUUUACCGCACCCGGACAAAAAAAAUUCCAAGAACACACGCACACAAUGGGCAACGAUCAAUCAACUUUAAAGCCCUCGCAAGAUUUACUUAGGUCCUCCAAUUGGACCCCAGAUGGUGCUUAAAGUCCGGCAGUUUCGCCUUAAUUCCACACAAAGUUCGGUAAUGGAGCUGUAGUUCUUAAAAAUAAAAAAUCGCCUUCUUAUUAAGACUAAAGAAUCUGUUUACACAAGUUCAUAUCAUUUAAAUUCAUUUUGUUUAUUGCUUAAGAACGUUUAAUCUAAAUGGAUAUAGUAUUAGUAUGUCAAGCCUAAAAGUAUACCAGUUUUUCUUUAAAUCAAAUGCGUUCAUUUAUAACUU
ensembl:ncRNA lncRNA:CR44343 long non-coding RNA:CR44343